CACGCAGUAGGUAUUUGUUGAAUGAAUGAGGAAAUAGAUAAAUCUACACCUGGAUGUUUUACUUCUGAUUUGACUCUAGAUAAGGGGCAUUCACUGGAGGAGAAAAGGAUCAUCGAAGAGGAAAGCUGCUUUCUGCUUCUUCCACUCCAGCUGUUGCCAGUGCCUUCAACUCUAAUCUUUGGUGCUCAAUUGAUUUUUCAACAGAGAAAACCCAGAAACAAUAUCUAACAAGAUCAGAGCAGAGGAAGGAGAGGAAUGGCAAAUAAACAUUUUCCAGUGUCGAGUUAGGAAGAUAUUCGAUCUUUCAAUGUGCUCAACAAAUGGGUUUAAUAAUGCACAUUUCAGUAUAAAACAGUUCACAACAGAAAUAUUUGCUACUCAGCCCAUUUAUCCUGGGAAUUACACAACAUGGACCAUUUUCAAUAACUCUUUUCAUUAUAAUGAUUUCCUCCUGCUCAAGCAACAGAGAUGUACAAACCAUUUUGGUCUAGAAAUGUAAUAUGUCGAGAUACAAAUGUAUUAACAAAAAUUAAAAUAUAAUCAUUUUCAU
rnacentral:lncRNA from 1 species